rnacentral:pre_miRNA from 1 species
AGCUUUUCGAAUCCGUGCUGAGAUUUCGUCAGACACCGAACCAUUACGGCUGAUCAGACUCCUAAGAUAAGUGAGGUU